UAAGAGCUUGCUCUUAUGGGUGGCGAGUGGCGGACGGGUGAGGAAUACAUCGGAAUCUACUUUUUCGUGGGGGAUAACGUAGGGAAACUUACGCUAAUACCGCAUACGACCUACGGGUGAAAGCNGGGGAUCUUCGGACCUUGCGCGAUUGAAUGAGCCGAUGUCGGAUUAGCUAGUUGGNGGGGUAAAGGCCCACCAAGGCGACGAUCCGUAGCUGGUCUGAGAGGAUGAUCAGCCACACUGGAACUGAGACACGGUCCAGACUCCUACGGGAGGCAGCAGUGGGGAAUNUUGGACAAUGGGCGCAAGCCUGAUCCAGCCAUACCGCGUGGGUGAAGAAGGNCUUCGGGUUGUAAAGCCCUUUUGNUGGGAAAGAAAUCCAGCUGGUUAAUACCCGGUUGGGAUGACGGUACCCAAAGAAUAAGCACCGGCUAACUUCGUGCCANCANCCGCGGUA
rnacentral:rRNA from 1 species